AUCUCUCAAAUAUGCUAAUGAUGUAUGGAGUUCAAAAGUGGGGAGCCCCAAAAGGUUAAAAUUGGUGGUGACCUCUUUUUGCAUGUUUCACAGCACAGGUGGGAAGAAAGUGGUUGGUCAUGCAGCAACUCCUCACCUUUCAAAGCAAACUGUAAAUACUCCUGCUAACAGUGACCAGAAAAAAGGAGCAGAAUCAAAAAUCUUGUGUACGUGCGUCUUGCAACAGGUCAUUCGGAUCUGAAGUUGCUUUACAGUCUCAUACAAAGGCCAAGCACGGUGCUGCACAGUGAAGGAAGAGAAGAGUGUGAAUUUUAUUUUUUACGAGUUCGUCACAGGAGUGUUAAAGUCGUAAAUGACAAAGGAAAGCUCAGUCUGGUCCAUUUUCUUUUAGGCUUUUGGUGAUCGCAACUGUCUAAUGAAGUGUUUACUUGUUUGAUGGACGAUGGUAUCAAUAUAUUGCUACGUUGCAUUUCUUGCAACAGCUGAAACCUAAAGCAA